CGCAAGCCUGACGGAGCAACGCCGCGUGAGGGACGAAGGCCUCUGGGCUGUAAACCUCUUUUCUCAAGGAAGAAGACCUGACGGUACUUGAGGAAUAAGCCACGGCUAAUUCCGUGCCAGCAGCCGCGGUAAUACGGAGGAGGCAAGCGUUAUCCGGAAUGAUUGGGCGUAAAGCGUCCGCAGGUGGCGAUGCAAGUCUGCUGUCAAAACCCAGGGCUCAACUCUGGUCAGGCAGUGGAAACUACAAAGCUAGAGUCUGGUAGGGGCAAAGGGAAUUCCCGGUGUAGCGGUGAAAUGCGUAGAGAUCGGGAAGAACAUCGGUGGCGAAAGCGCUUUGCUAGACCAGAACUGACACUCAGGGACGAAAGCUAGGGGAGCG
rnacentral:rRNA from 1 species